UUCUGGUAGGGAGACCCCCUACCAGAUCUAUGGGCCUUCAGACUGAUAACAGGAAUCCAUAAACACUAUUGUUUUUUAGACAGAAGAGGCUAUAAUGAUCCCUUGCAGGCAAACAGAGACGUAUCAAAAGAGCAAGUCUAAUUUUGUUCAUCCUUUCUCAGGCACAUCAGCAGGAGGAAGAAAAGAAAAGGAGAUUCAGAUGCAGAAUUAUGAAUUCAGACAUCUCAGAUGUGGGAGGCCUUCAGAUAAUCCAGGUCUGGACCUUCCACUGUGUGAGUGCAUAACCUCCACCAAUCGGUCAUGCUGUGUUGGCAACGCGUUUCAUGUAGCCAGUCCUGAACAAAACCAGGCACAACUACAGCAUUUUGAAUGCAGUUGUAUGCUUCCCAGACAGCCAUGGAGGGCACUAAAGAGACCUGCCUGAAUUACUGUCACCCCAAAACGAGUCCCCCUUGGCACUGAAUCUCACCACAACGCAUGUUCAAGGUUGCAGCUAUCAUUUCAAAACUUUCCAGGGGAAAGGGCCAAAUACCCUUACUUUAGAACAGUUUAAAUUUUUGAAUUGGUAGCCAGAGAGGAAAAAAGAACAUUGCCCCUACAGCCCCACCAAAAAUGUACAAUAGGCGAGUUAUUUCAAUUCUAAAAAAAAUUUUAAAAAAGCAGUCAGAAGUAAACAUUUAAUAAAAGAGUUUAUGAUAGUCUGA
rnacentral:lncRNA from 1 species